rnacentral:misc_RNA from 1 species
CUCCCGCUCCACAACCGAUGGCACCCACAGAUCCCGGCCGUCGCCGACGUCACGGAAGGCGAGCUCUUCCGGGUUGAGAUGGUGGACUGGACCGGAGGCAGGGUCGGAGACAACAGUUCUGCCACGGACGUCAAAGAUUUGGAUCUCACCAUCACACAUUAUCUCAGUGGACCACUGAGAGUUAUAGACAAAGAAGGAUUUCCUGCCAAGCCUGGUGAUCUUCUUGCUGUGGAGAUAUGUAAUUUAGGUCCACUCCCUGGAGAUGAAUGGGGAUAUACAGCAACAUUUGAUAGAGAGAAUGGAGGUGGAUUUUUGACUGACCAUUUUCCACAUGCAACCAAAGCUAUAUGGUAUUUUGAAGGAAUAUAUGCAUACUCCCCUCAGAUACCAGGGGUGCGCUUCCCAGGUUUAACUCAUCCCGGAGUAAUUGGAACAGCACCAUCUAUGGAACU